rnacentral:ribozyme from 13 species
GACCAAAAAAGAUUUGGAAAACCAAACCUUCAAGCCCUCUUCCCAUUGAAAGGUCCAUCGUAGUUUGGGUCCCAUAUUACCAUGAUUUCUUUUUUUUCUUAUGUUCCAUCGGAUUCUCCUUUGGGCUCGCAAUGAUGAUCAUGUCCCCCCUUGAUUUUCUCCAAAAUCCGGUUGUCUGGCUUCAAGCAAUGCAAAGAUACAAUUCUUUUAUGACAGGCGGUCCUAACUUUGCCUUUGAAUAUCUGAUUUCGAAAUCAAAACUGGAAGAGCGAAAAAAAAUUCG